rnacentral:rRNA from 1 species
AUACAGAGGGUGCGAGCGUUAAUCGGAAUUACUGGGCGUAAAGCGCGCGUAGGCGGUUAUUUAAGUCAGAUGUGAAAUCCCUGGGCUCAACCUAGGAACUGCAUCUGAAACUGGGUAACUAGAGUUUAGGAGAGGGGAGUAGAAUUUCGGGUGUAGCGGUGAAAUGCAUUGAGAUCCGAAGGAAUACCAGUGGCGAAGGCGACUCCCUGGCCUAGAACUGACGCUGAGGUGCGAAAGCGUGGGUAGCAAACGGGAUUAGAAACCCUAGUAGUCC